rnacentral:lncRNA from 1 species
GCCCCCCUCUUCAGUCAAUGCUUUGGCCUUCGUCUCUUUUGCCCUUUUAAUUAGUUUUUUUGCAUGUGUAGGGGCACUUUUUUAACCUAAUCGAUAGUUGUUAGGAUGAAUCACACGUGGGAGAGCCUGUGGUUCUCAUUGAUUGAGUCGAUCCCGAGACAAAGCAAAGGGAGUUCCGUGGGUUCAGUUUGACUUUUCUUCAAGCUUAUGAUUUUCUUCAUCCCGAUCUCUCUUUCCUGCCUGUCCAAAGAAAACAGAACCUCUUCUAGUUCAAGGUCGAAAUCCUCAAACCAAUCAAAAUCUGAUUUCUAGUUCACUAUUCUUAUGAUAAGAAAUGUGAUACACAUCAUUUUUUUCAUUUUCAGUUUUUAUUUCGAAUUUUCAAUUCAAACCACCUCAAAACAUCACCAAAUCAUCCCAAAAUUGAGAUUCAAUCUCCUUAAGAUGUACCCAAUCUAUUCUAAUAACACUCACUCAAAAGAAAGCAAAAAUUUGACUUUUUUUGCUACAAAUAGCUAAUUGACUAAUAUUAGUAAUAUUUGGCUAAUAUUAGUAAUAUUUUAUGAAUUAACUAAUUUUUGUAAUAAGCUACUUAUAAAUGGACAUAGUUGGUAGUUUCCCUUUAAAUGGGUUGCCUUGUUAUUAUUAAUAAAAAUGGGCCAACUUAUUGACUUAAUACAUUGGGCUUUGGGAAAAAUUGAUUCAUUAGCCCAAACAUUUGAAGAGCCUUAUGUUGAACUACUGAUUAAUUAAUCAAAACAAAUUUUUUUGAGCCUAACUCCAAACACUAUAGUUUAAUUAAAAUAUAGAGCUUUUAUCAUUGUUGGCCGCUCGGGCCAAACUUUUAAUAGCCACUAGCCAAAAAUUAAUUAAUUACAAUAGCCAGCUGAUGAAACAAAAAGCCUCAUCAGCCACAUCCCAAACCCGACGCCAGAUAUAUCAAAUGCUUUUUUUUCUUCUAAGAAUCUCAUUUUUAGAAAUGAAAAAUAUAUCUUUAAUCCCCAAACAACGUGAAAUACAGAUCUAUUUUAAUUUUCUAACCAAAUCAAAAAAGCUUUCAAUUAUAAAAAAUAUAGUGUACAAUAAAACCCAAAAAAAAUAUAUCCUUGUUAUUGUUGACUCUUAAUUGGCUAGAUGAAAGCAGUCGGUCAUCAUCAAAGUAAUAUAUCCUUAUUGUUAUGGUUUUCGUUUCAUGGGUUUAUUUAAUUAUUUAAUACACAAUAAUAUGUUCUUCACUCUUUAAAUCAAAUACCCCUUUACAUACAAAGAAAGUAAAUGUUCAUUCAAAUAAAUACUAUAUAAUAGAUAUAAAUUGUCAAUAACUAUCAUCAUUGUAAUUUUUAACACAAUAUUAAAUUCUAGAAAAUCUUUCAUAUAUACAUUUUACUACAUCACUACGUAGUAAAAUGCAUGAUACACUUUAUAUAUUCAAAAUUUAUACAUUAUAGAACAGACUAUACACUUUGGAUACACAAAAGCGCUCGGGAUACAUUAAUGAUAUAUUAUGGAUACAUUGCAAGAUGCACGAUACACUCUAUAUACAAAUUUUAUGCAAUGUAUAUACAAAAUAGACUGUCACUAUACAAAAAUAUACUAAAUAGACUGCCACUGUACAAUUUAUAUACACUAAACUGUCAUUAUACAAAAUAUAUACAAAAUAGACUGUCACUAUACUAAAUAUAUACUAAAUAUAUACUAAAUAGACUGUCAUUAUACAAAAUAGAUUGUCACUAUACAAAAAUAUACAAAAUAGACAUUUCAGGCUAUUAGAUGUAAUAUGUUUGGGCCGAAGGGCCAUUUCGUGUAAGUGGGAAAAAACAUGAGCUAUUAAAAUUUUGAGGUACUACAGAGGGUAGUUUUCCCAAAAGAAAUCACAUUAGCUUAGUAGAAAAAUACGACAAAGAAGAACAUAAAGAAUAAACAUGAAAGUAAACAAAAGCUAAGAAAGAAAAUCAAGGCCAGUAACGUUCAAAGCAUGGAAUUUCAACCAUUUAACCAAACCUCAUUAAUUCAUUCUUUCUUAACAAAUUAACUCCUUUACUGCUCCCAUGGUCAUUAGCCUGAAUUUGUGGAUCCACAACGAGAAACUUAUUUUUAACUAUGAUUUCAACCAAACAAAUAUUUCUUAACGAGCUUUAAAUGUCUUCUAGCUUUAAACAAGAAUCAAAAUAGAGUAUUUGAUCUCACUUUGAAGCUUACCAUGUGUGACUCAGAUUCAACAGAGUAGCGAAAACUAAUCAAACAUUUUUACUCUAUCUAGAACAAGACCAAAAGAUUAAAACCGGCAAACAAAUUAGAGCCACUAAGAACAUGUUAGGCGGACUCAUUUUUUUUUUUGUCAAAAUUAGUUAUCAAGAAUGUUACUCUAACAUUGGUAUUUCACUAAUACAUGAGUCUAUUUACUUAAGGAGCUUUUAUGAGACUUACGAGAACUCCAAACAGGCACUCCGUAUUAACUAAAAAAGAAAGAAGGAAAAGCGGCAUUCUGUUUACUUUAAGCUAUUAGAUGCCAAAAUAUUUUCAAGUCAAUUUACAUGGCUUUCUCAACCUUUAAAUUAAAGAUACUAACGUUGAAAGAAAACAAAGAACAGUAGAAGAACUUUAGCAAAGCUUUCAAUAUUUUUAAAUAGAAAUUUCAGCAACUACCAGAGAAGUGAAAACUUUUCAGCAUUCAUUCAUAUUAAUUAAGCUCAAAUUGUAGGUUGAGACUAAUACCUAAGUACAGAGCUUUAAUGUCAACAAAGUGAGCUCGACAACAGCAGAAAUGAGGCUCAGCUACAACCUUUGAACAGCAGCCAAAAAACUCAGAGUAGUCCCAACAAUUGAACUUAAAGUUCCCAGAAAACUUAAGUGCUAAGAAACUAGAAGAAAACCAAGAAGCAUUUUUGUCAUCUUUCUGAAAAAGGUAAUAUCCUUUUUUUGUGUGUGUAAAGAUGUGUAGAGUGUAUCCUUUUUAGUGAGGAAAGACCUCCUCUUUAUAUAGGAGAGGAAGGACUCUUGGGACAGAUUUUGUUUAUCAAAAAAUCUGUCCAAAAUGAUAACUUUUUGAUUGAAAAUUUGUCCAAAACCAAAAAUCUACCCAAGAAACAGUGUUCUUUACCAACUGUGGAUAGGUUUUUGGAGCAUUAUGCUCCAAAUAGUGCCUGAACAGUAGAAAGCAACCAAAUAGUACCCCCCUCUCAUCAUUCCCUUACUACACUCUCAACUUUACCAAUACACCAAAUAUUUUCUCAAAACAAUCAAACCCAAACAACUAUGGACUAUCAAAGUAGAAACAAGAUUUAAAAUGUAAUCGAACUAAAUAUUCAAACAAACUAGAUUGAAUGAAUUCGAUUUGUGCAAACUAAACUCGAGCGACUGAAAUCACAAGCUAAUAUGCGAAACAGAAACUAAACGAGCAUCGCGAAACUAUCACACACAAUUAAUAACAACUAACAAAUAACUAACUAAAUAAAUGAUUCAACUUCUUGUGGGUUUUUCAUGAAACUAGCAUAAAACACUUAUCAUAGACUAACUACUAAUAAAAAUUACAGAAGAUUAAACUAAAAUGCACAACCAAACGGGAAAACAGAAAUUAAGAAAAAUAAGGGAAAAGAUUGAAGCAUACCGAACAAUCCGUGGCAUCGGGGGAGUGAGAUAAGGCGGGACAACCGACUCAAGCACACUUCCUUUGAGCUAAAACACCAAGGCAACCAAUUCCGGUGCAUGACCGUCGACUCGUGCAUUUUUAACUCAAAGAAAACGUGCCCUAGGUCGGAAUUGAGGUCUUCGGGCAGCGGUCGUGGUAAUUAGGCAGCGUUUGGAUGGUGGUUUGGUCAGUGGUGGUUGAAGGUGGAAGUUCUUCGAAAUCGAAGAAAUAGAGGCGACUAGGGUUUUGAUUUAUUUGGAUAUUCACGGAGUUUGGUUGGGAUUUUGAGGACCUGAUUUGGAGAUAUGGAGAGAAGAGGAGGAGAGGAGGAGAUGGGUAUAAUUAUGGAGGUGACUUGGGCCACCGGACAGUGGCGGAGCGGCGGCGGCAGUGGUGGCAGAGCACGGCGGGGGGAGGUUUUUUUUGCGGUUUAGCUUGUGGAUUCGGGUAGAUGAGGAAAAGAGGAGAAAAAUGAUAUACAAUUUGGGUGGGUUUUAGGUGGUCUGCCGCCGAUGACAAAUUCCGGCGGGCGCCGCCGCCGUGAGGGAGUGGCGGCGGCAGAUGAAGGAGAGAGAAGAGAGAGAUGGGGGAAGGCUUUAGGG